AGACGUGGAAGGCAAGCUGGGAUAAAAACAUCUUGGAUGGAUAUUAAUCCUGGGCGUCAAUUUUACACCUGCGUGCAAUUGCGUUCUCGGUGCAAAUUCUUUGCGUGGAUCGACCCUCCCAUGUGUCCUCGGUCAGUUCAAGUCAUCCGAGGUUUGAUGGAUACGAAAGCAUUACUUGAAAACGAAGUCAAGUUUUUGAGAGAGGAGGUUCGAAUGUAUAAAGAGCAAGUAGCAGAAAUGGAAAAUAAAAAUCCAAGGGUCGUUCUUAAUAGGGACACCUGUUUGAUAAUCUGUUGGAUUUUGUUUUUUUUGUCCGUAUUUGUAUUUGUCGUUAGCCGUAUUUAAGUUUAUGCAACUUAUGUAAACGAAUGUAAUGACUCUCGUAUUUUGGUUAUUUAGCGGAAUGUUAUGUCU